AGAGUUUGAUCCUGGCUCAGAUUGAACGCUGGCGGCAGGCCUAACACAUGCAAGUCGAACGGUAACAGGAAACAGCUUGCUGUUUCGCUGACGAGUGGCGGACGGGUGAGUAAUGUCUGGGAAACUGCCUGAUGGAGGGGGAUAACUACUGGAAACGGUAGCUAAUACCGCAUAACGUCGCAAGACCAAAGAGGGGGACCUUCGGGCCUCUUGCCAUCGGAUGUGCCCAGAUGGGAUUAGCUAGUAGGUGGGGUAACGGCUCACCUAGGCGACGAUCCCUAGCUGGUCUGAGAGGAUGACCAGCCACACUGGAACUGAGACACGGUCCAGACUCCUACGGGAGGCAGCAGUGGGGAAUAUUGCACAAUGGGCGCAAGCCUGAUGCAGCCAUGCCGCGUGUAUGAAGAAGGCCUUCGGGUUGUAAAGUACUUUCAGCGGGGAGGAAGGGAGUAAAGUUAAUACCUUUGCUCAUUGACGUUACCCGCAGAAGAAGCACCGGCUAACUCCGUGCAGCAGCCGCGGUAAUACGGAGGGUGCAAGCGUUAAUCGGAAUUACUGGGCGUAAAGCGCACGCAGGCGGUUUGCUAAGUCAGAUGUGAAAUCCCCGGGCUCAACCUGGGAACUGCAUCUGAUACUGGCAAGCUUGAGUCUCGUAGAGGGGGGUAGAAUUCCAGGUGUAGCGGUGAAAUGCGUAGAGAUCUGGAGGAAUACCGGUGGCGAAGGCGGCCCCCUGGACGAAGACUGACGCUCAGGUGCGAAAGCGUGGGGAGCAAACAGGAUUAGAUACCCUGGUAGUCCACGCCGUAAACGAUGUCGACUUGGAGGUUGUGCCCUUGAGGCGUGGCUUCCGGAGCUAACGCGUUAAGUCGACCGCCUGGGGAGUACGGCCGCAAGGUUAAAACUCAAAUGAAUUGACGGGGGCCCGCACAAGCGGUGGAGCAUGUGGUUUAAUUCGAUGCAACGCGAAGAACCUUACCUGGUCUUGACAUCCACGGAAGUUUUCAGAGAUGAGAAUGUGCCUUCGGGAACCGUGAGACAGGUGCUGCAUGGCUGUCGUCAGCUCGUGUUGUGAAAUGUUGGGUUAAGUCCCGCAACGAGCGCAACCCUUAUCCUUUGUUGCCAGCGGUCCGGCCGGGAACUCAAAGGAGACUGCCAGUGAUAAACUGGAGGAAGGUGGGGAUGACGUCAAGUCAUCAUGGCCCUUACGACCAGGGCUACACACGUGCUACAAUGGCGCAUACAAAGAGAAGCGACCUCGCGAGAGCAAGCGGACCUCAUAAAGUGCGUCGUAGUCCGGAUUGGAGUCUGCAACUCGACUCCAUGAAGUCGGAAUCGCUAGUAAUCGUGGAUCAGAAUGCCACGGUGAAUACGUUCCCGGGCCUUGUACACACCGCCCGUCACACCAUGGGAGUGGGUUGCAAAAGAAGUAGGUAGCUUAACCUUCGGGAGGGCGCUUACCACUUUGUGAUUCAUGACUGGGGUGAAGUCGUAACAAGGUAACCGUA
rnacentral:rRNA from 1 species